GUGAAUCAUCGAAUUUUUGAACGCAAAUUGCGCUCUCUUGUAUGAGUAGGCCUAUGUGUGGGUCAGUGUUAAUAAAAAUCGGAGUGUUGCUUCUUUGUGUCGCUCCGGGGUUUGGGUCAUCUUAAUAUCCUUGAGGGUUUAAGAGGCUUAAAAUUGACUUUUAUUGCGUAUUUUCUAUGUACAUAAAUUCUUUUUUUUAUCAGUAUGACUUAAUGCCCAAAAUCCUAUUAGAUGCGACCAUAUCGUGUGGUUUCUUGUCUAUAAAUUUUUCAU
rnacentral:misc_RNA from 1 species